GACGAACCGUGCAAACGUUAUUCGGAAUCACUGGGCUUAAAGCGCGUGUAGGCGGUGCCGCACGUCCGGGGUGAAAGCCCAGGGCUCAACCCUGGAAGUGCACUGGAUACGACGGCGCUGGAGUCCUGAAGAGGAGGGCGGAAUUCCCGGUGUAGCGGUGGAAUGCGCAGAUAUCAGGAGGAACACCGGUGGCGAAGGCGGGUCUCUGGGCAGUAACUGACGCUGAGGAGCGAAAGCGUGGGGAGCGAACAGG
rnacentral:rRNA from 1 species